GACGAACGCUGGCGGCGUGCUUAACACAUGCAAGUCGAACGAUGAAGAAAAGAAUUGAAGCUUCGGCAGAAAUUCAUUUCGGAUUAGUGGCAGACGGGUGAGUAACGCGUGAGCAACCUACCUCUUACAAAGGGAUAGCCUCGGGAAACCGGGAUUAAUACCAUAUAACAUUGCGACGAAGCAUUUCGAUGCAAUCAAGGCUACGGCGGUAAGAGAUGGGCUCGCGUCCCAUUAACCAGAUGGUGAGGUAACGGCUCACCAUAGUAACGAUGGGUAACCGGCCUGAGAGGGUGAACGGUCACACUGGAACUGAGACACGGUCCAGACUCCUACGGGAGGCAGCAGUGGGGAAUAUUGCACAAUGGAGGGAACUCUGAUGCAGCGACGCCGCGUGAGUGAUGAAGGAAUUCGUUUCGUAAAACUCUGUUCUAUGGGAAGAAAAGGACUGUACCAUAGGAGAAAGCUCCGGCUAAAUACGUG
rnacentral:rRNA from 1 species